rnacentral:lncRNA from 1 species
ACCUUUACUUACCAGACCGUACGAAGAACACCAACACACAGUGAUUUAAACAACGGAAUUGAGAUAGAACCCAAAAAGGCAAAGAAAGAAAUUUCUUUUCAAAGAAUAGAAAAAGAACGUCAAACAGAGGGAAAUUUUUGGGAAAGAGAAAAGAGAGAAAAAAAAUUAAAAUAAAAAUUACUAACCCCAUUCCAUCCACUAACCACUUAUUCCAUAAAAUCCUACCCACUAACCAC